ensembl:snRNA U2 U2 spliceosomal RNA
AUGGCUUCUCGGCCUUUUGGCUAAGACCAAGUGUACUGUCUGUUAUUAUCAGUUUAAUACCUGAUAUGUUCUCUAUCUGAGGACAACAUAAUAAAUGGAUUUUUGGAGCUGGGAGAUGAAAUAUGACCUUACUGCAUUCAUUCCACACAUUGACCUGGUAUUGCAGUACCUUCAGGAAUGGUGCACCAAAC